rnacentral:lncRNA from 1 species
GGGAUUAAUAAAAAACAGAAUUUGUUACCUUAUUCUUAUACUACUUUUUAUGUCUGUUACUUGCAGAAAGAUUGAUAUCUUUCUAAUUUAGAAAAUAUUUAAUUUUUACAUUUUUAUCUAGCCAUUACCAACAUGUUCUCAUGAGAAUUAACACAUGAUCUCAUCAGAAGUUCUACUAAAUACAAAAAUAACUACUUUAGUAUCUGUGUCAAUUUUUUUUCCUUUAUAAACUCCCGAAGGUUAGUUGCUCUUAGAUUAGUCUCUCCCGAAAAAAAAAUUUCCUUUAUAAACUACUUCAUAAAU